AUCACAGACGUACGAUUAUCCCACCUGAUUCACUACAAGUGUAAGAACACCAUCUAUUGCACCAAAGAUUUCAGCUUUAUGAAAUUUGGGGGCAAAUGCAAUAUGCAUUAAAAAUUUUUACCUGUUUUUAAAUCCAAUAAACUUAUGGGAAGGAUGGGUUAUUGCUAUAAUCUGACUGAGCCAUUGAACUGAAGCUCGUGGUGGGCUUUGGACUCGGACGAUUAUGGCCUCCUAGCAUUCUAGGCUGUGCCCAUUGCAGGGGUAAUUUCGACAAGAAAAAAUCCCUCCGACAAAUUAUGCUGUCAUUAUAAGCUGGCCUGGGCAAUAAAUCUCCUUGUCGUUUUCCCAAAUGGAAUGAGUGACCAUGACAGAAAUACCCUACCGUUUUGCACUUCUGAUCCAUAAUCAUUUUACCCUUCUCGUAUUUACGGUAAUACCCCUAGGUUGUUGCUUCUGGAAAGUUUUAAAAAAAAUAUUCCAUACAGUCGGACCUAAUACCUAAUACCUUGCCAACUAAAUUGAACCAAUAGGUGUUAUGAGAUUAUUGUAAUUAGCCAGUGUGGGCUCCACCGUAUCUUUGUCCCACAAACUGAAUCUUUCAUUCUACGUUUUUCUUAUACGCUAAACUGAUGAAAAUAGGUGAACUGAAUCUAUACCUAUACGUACAUAAAAUUUAUGGCUUUGAUCGCCUGCUGCUGAGUGCAUAUAAGAGGCCAAUGGUCCAGGUUCAGCAAAUGAGAUUGUGAAAGGGCUUAGGUGGCAAACGUGACACAUCUACACAUUCUAGGUGACAAGUGGCUGUGCGUCCUACGUGGCUUGGUUUAGUUUGCACGUGUUUAAAUGAGGGGCUGUUAGUGCAAACCGCUCAUUCUCAGAGAAAUCUGGGAGCCUAUUCAUCUUACACGCGGAUGACAUGCGCGGAACAAUAAUAACGACCUCAAUGAAAAGGAAAAUUCUUAUCGGUGUAUAAAAAAAUUUGUUCACCCAAUCAAUUAAAAUUUUAAAAAUAAAAUUUACGACGCUGUCCAAUGAAAGGGAAAACUGCAAGCCGGGGGCGUUACUUACUUGCUUCGCAGCAGUGGGUACA
rnacentral:misc_RNA from 1 species